GACAGAGGGUGCAAACGUUGUUCGGAAUUACUGGGCGUAAAGCGCGUGUAGGUGGCAAGGCAAGUCGGGUGUGAAAGCCCUGGGCUCAACCCAGGAAGUGCACUCGAUACUGCCUCGCUAGAGUCCCGGAGAGGUUGGUGGAACUCUCGGUGUAGAGGUGAAAUUCGUAGAUAUCGAGAAGAACACCGGUGGCGAAGGCGGCCAACUGGACGGUGACUGACACUGAGACGCGAAGCGUGGGGAAGCAAACAGG
rnacentral:rRNA from 1 species